rnacentral:rRNA from 1 species
AUUGAACGCUGGCGGCAUGCCUUACACAUGCAAGUCGAACGGCAGCGCGGGAGCAAUCCUGGCGGCGAGUGGCGAACGGGUGAGUAAUAUAUCGGAACGUGCCCAGUAGUGGGGGAUAGCCCGGCGAAAGCCGGAUUAAUACCGCAUGAGACCUGAGGGUGAAAGCGGGGGAUCGCAAGACCUCGCGCUAUUGGAGCGGCCGAUAUCAGAUUAGCUAGUUGGUGGGGUAAAGGCCUACCAAGGCAACGAUCUGUAGUUGGUCUGAGAGGACGACCAGCCACACUGGGACUGAGACACGGCCCAAACUCCUACGGGAGGCAGCAGUGGGGAAUCUUGCGCAAUGGACGAAAGUCUGACGCAGCCAUGCCGCGUGAAUGAUGAAGGUCUUAGGAUUGUAAAGUUCUUUAGCCUGUGACGAUGAUGACGGUAACAGGAGAAUAAGCCCCGGCUAACUUCGUGCCAGCAGCCGCGGUAAAGUCGUC